AUUGAACGCUGGCGGCAUGCCUUACACAUGCAAGUCGAACGGUAACAGGUCUUCGGAUGCUGACGAGUGGCGAACGGGUGAGUAAUACAUCGGAACGUGCCCAGGCGUGGGGGAUAACGAGGCGAAAGCUUUGCUAAUACCGCAUACGAUCUAAGGAUGAAAGCAGGGGACCGCAAGGCCUUGCGCGUUUGGAGCGGCCGAUGGCAGAUUAGGUAGUUGGUGGGAUAAAAGCUUACCAAGCCGACGAUCUGUAGCUGGUCUGAGAGGACGACCAGCCACACUGGGACUGAGACACGGCCCAGACUCCUACGGGAGGCAGCAGUGGGGAAUUUUGGACAAUGGGCGAAAGCCUGAUCCAGCAAUGCCGCGUGCAGGAUGAAGGCCUUCGGGUUGUAAACUGCUUUUGUACGGAACGAAAAGGCUCUGGCUAAUACCUGGGGCACAUGACGGUACCGUAAGAAUAAGCACCGGCUAACUACGUGCCAGCCGCCGCCGUAAAAC
rnacentral:rRNA from 1 species